rnacentral:lncRNA from 1 species
AAUAGAGGCAGCUGCUGUAUGUUCUGUGUUGUGCUUUUUUUCGCGAGUUGUAGACGCAAGCAGAGCAGACACUGGCAACUCUUUAUUUGACUGAUGUAUCUGGCAAGAGUUACGGUCGCAGUGGUGUGUUCAAAUAGAGACACAGUGAGACAUGCUCUUCAUGUUGCUCCAGCUCUGGUGGAGUGUUAUCUCUGGCUGAUGAGGUCAUGUAAAGAGGUCAUACAGAUAGCCUGCUGCUGGAAGCCAAGUACACCGUCUAGCAAGGACAGAGAUGAACAUCACUACGAUAUCAUGUUAGUGUUCUACUUUUGAUGUUAAUAAAGCCACUCUGUUAGUUAUCCAAUAAUUUCAACUAAUGAAAUACACCCCUUGACUUAGAAGAAUAUGACAGAUACCUCAUUGAGAUUAGUAGCUGUUUUGCAUCAUUUUAUCCCAAAAAGCGAAGGACAUGUAUCAUGUUUUGUUUUGUAAGAAUGGGCGAAUGGUGCUCUGUUGCUGUCUUGAAAAAGCAGGACUUGGCUAAUCAUCUUGUAAUGUAAUUCUCCAGUCACAAAUUCACUUGUCACCUAUUAUCUUAUCAGACUCCCUGGACGUGUUGCCAAAUCUUACACAAAGGACAACAAGCCACAAUUGACCUCAGGAUCAGAGACAUGUGCAGUCUUGGCUUGGCUGGGACACCUGUCCCCCCCCCCCCCACUUGCCCUGAGGAUGAAGCCAGAACAGCUGCACAGCCACUUGUCUGGAGUGAGUUACAGCAAGGUGCCUGGCUCCGGGCUUUUAUUGAUAAUAUUACAGUACUUGAUGUAAAUAUGACUGUGGUGGCUUUCCUCCUCAGCAUGGGUCGAGGCUGGCCUGCAAACCAACCUGCUCACAGCUCCCCGAGGUGGAGCACACAGCACCGGCUGCCGCUUGCAGGAAGCCAUAAGUGAAGUUGGCCAUAAUAAAUAUUCCCCCACUUUUUGGACAAAGGUUUUGUACUCUAUAGAGUGUUAUUUUCUGUUCUUUACCUUUUCCCCAACAUCCUCCCCCCCUCCUCCUCCCAGCCAUAGCUUCACACAGAGCCGUUAACACAUUCUUCCUCAGAUUUCUCGGGGCAACAGGCCUCGUUACUAAUAGAGUUGAAAGGUAAUUGGUUAUCUAUACUGUUGGUUGGUACAGUAUAUUGCACACAUGCUCUGUUGCACAUGGAGGCUCAGUCUUUCUCACACAAGCAUGCACUCACACACACACACUAAUGCACAUGUGUGCAAACACACACAUAGCCUGCCAUCUUGUCUCUCCUCCGGUGCCAGCUGCAGACGGUGUGCAGACAGACUGAUCUUAGUCCCAAUGAUUAGGUCUUUCAUGUGCCCUGACCUGAGGGUUUAAAGUCAGCUUUAAUGCCUAAGCGUUGACUCCUCUACUGUCCUCGCUACUGGAGCUAAAGAGCCACACACGUGAGUCAGAGUCAGAUACCACACCUGUAGUCCACCCACACUCCAUUCCUUCACUGAGGUGAGAUUUGUUUUCAAUACAAUUUAAACACGGUGCCUUUCCACCAGCCAAAGCAGGAAGUACAUGUGGUUUAAAUGAGUCAACUCUUCCCCAUCUCCUUGGUGAUUUAAUAUUAUCUGCUGGAUGGAAGCAGGUCCUGACAGUUAAGAUGACAAUAUGAAGGGCCCUUAUUUCAUUAUUAGUCUCAGCAGUGCUUAGAAAGAAUGAAGAUAGUGUUGCCCGUGCAAGCGCCACGUGUUGCCAAUGUGGAAUGGACACAUGUAGCAAUUGUCUCUGCGUGCAUGUGGGUGGCCGAGCUCUGGGCAUUACUGCAAUCUGUGAGCAAUUGACAGUAAUCCCCCUCUCCCCGUAAAGGCCCAUCUUUUCCUCUGCAUGCAAACAAGCACGUCUUCACUAGGCCUCAUCCUACAGAAACCCUAUACUCUCCCACUAUAUGUAUGUACAUGCCAAUAUACUAUACUGUAGACCACAGACAUAUUGAAAUAUGUGGCUUUGCUGUAGACUAUAGACAGCUAGAGAAUGGUUACAAAAGCAGUAUCGUAACUAUUAAUCAAUCUCAUGAAAACGUUAGAAACAGAUACACCUUCUACAUUUCUGUGCUGUUUGAUGUUGUUGCACAUUCAGUAGUUGUAUGGGGGUUAUUUUCAUCAAGGAAUUCGUCAUAGCGCAAUAUCAGUUUCAUUUGGGCCUCAUAAAAUGUCCCUAUUUUUGAAUACUUGAUGGCUUUCCGCUGAGAUAUUUAUCUAUUUGCUAAAGACAGGUUUGUCUGGUUUUAAAUGAACAAUGCUGAAUGAUGAAAAGCGUAUUUACCAAACCAAUAAUUCAAAUGAUCCAAAUGAAUUCAUUGUGAAAAAGUUAGCAUAGCCUACAUAUCAGUAUCAUUUACUUAACUUGAACUAAUGUACAUUUAAUUAUCGUUUCAUACUGCUCAUUGACAGUGUUUAAAUAACCCAACGUGAAGAAUAACAAUAUAAUAACAAUAUUAUUGAAAUAUCAAAUAAGAAUAUCAUAACCACACACCAACAAGGUGACUUUUAUCCACAUUGAAAGGCAGAAUGACCAUCAAGUUCACAAGCGAACACACUAUUCCACCUCAAUGAUGACGGAAUGUGACACUGACCUGCAGAAGUGAGAAACAUUCCAUAUGUUUGGGGAGUCUCCCACAUGCCUUUUGGUGAACACCAAAUGCGUUUGCUUAUUUUUAUUCUUUAAGCAAUGGCUUUUUUCUGGCCACUCUUCUGUAAAGCCCAGCUCUGUGGAGUGUACGACUUAAAGUGGUCCUAUGGACAGAUACUCCAAUCUCCGCUGUGGAGCUUUGCAGCUACUUCAGGGUUAUCUUUGGUCUCUUUGUUGCGUCUCUGAUUAACGACCUCCUUGCCUGGUCUGUGAGUUUUGGUGGGUGGCUCUCUCUUGGCAGGUUUGUUGUGGUGCCAUAUUCUUUCCAUUUUUUAAUAAUGGAUUUAAUGGUGCUCCGUUGGAUUUUCAAAGUUUCUGAUAUUUUCUUAUAACCCAACCCUGAUCUGUACUUCUCCACAACUUUUUCCCAGACUUGUUUGGAGAGCUCCUUGGUCUUCAUGGUGCCGCUUGCUUGGUGGUGCCCCUUGCUUAUUGGUGUUGCAGACUCUGGGGCCUUUCAGAACAGGUGUAUAUUUACUGAUUUCAUGUGACAGAUCAUGUGACACUUAGAUUGGACAACAGUUGGACUUUAUUUAACUAAUAAUGUGACUUCUGAAGGUAAUUGGUUGCACCAGAUCUUAUUUAGGGGCUUCACAGCAAAGGGGCUGAAUACAUAUGCACGCACCACUUUCCGAUUUAAUUCUUUUGAAUUUUUUUAAACAAGUUAUUUUUUUCACUUUACCAUUUGACUAUUUUGUGUAUGUCCAUUACAUGAAAUCCAAAUAAAAAUCUAUUUAAAUUACCAGUUGUAAUGCAACAAAAUAGGAAAAACGCCAAGGGGGAUGAAUACUUUUGCAAGGCACUGUAAGUCCUCAAUGCUGUAUGUGUCGGUUGUCGUAUGGAUUGGACCAAAACGCAACAGGAAUAUGUAUACUCAUCUUUUUAUUUUGAAGAAGGCGAAACAACUAAAUACGUAUACAAAAAAGAACAAAACGAAACAGUCCUGUCAGGUGCAACAAACACUAAACAAGGAACAACUACCCACAAAAUCCCAUAGAAAAACACCCCUCUUAAAUAGGACCUUCAAUUAGAAGCAACUAGGAGCAGCUGCUUCCAAUUGAAGGUCAACCCAACAAACACCACAUAGAAAUAGACAUACUAGAACUAACACAGAAAUAGACUAACAAGAACAUAACCCAACAAACCCCGAAAACACUCUUAACAAACACCCAUCUUAAAACAGAACAUAGCCCAACAAACCCCGAAACACUCUAAACAAACACCCCUCUUAAAACAGAACAUAGCCCAACAAACCCCGAAACACUCUAAACAAACACCCCUCUUAAAACAGAACAUUGCCCAACACACCCCGAAACACUCUAAACAAACACACCCCUGCCACGUCAUGACCAAACUACAAUAACAAAUAACCCCUUAACUGGUCAGGACGUGACAGUAUGGCUGUGGUUGCACACUCAAAUUGAUUGUAAUUGUUAACUUCCUGAAUUUUGCAGGCGUUUAAUUUGCCAGACUGGCAGAAUUAAAAAGCAAUCAUAAAAUUCAACUCCAUAUAAAAAAAGUGUGCAUACGUACAUUUACAAUGCAAACAUGUUUUGCCUAAUAUCUACAACAUGUGGUUUCAUAUUACAUUAUUAAAGGCACUCCACUGUAAAUACUGACAUGCUUGAUGGACAAUCGGAGAGCUUGAGAAGGAACUCAUUAUGAUUAUGAAAAAAAAAGACAAAGAGAUUUAUUUUGGAUGCUAAAAACACAUAUUAGUCAGACGGAGGGAUUGGUGUAAGAUGGAUUGGUGUAAGAUGGAUUGGAUGGAUUGGUGUAAGAAACUCUAAAGUUAUAAUGUAUUGGUUAUUCUAAUGUAUGCUAUUCUGCUCUACAUGGAGAAAACUAGGAAAUAACUGCUGUUGUCUUGAACUCAUGAACUUACUGUACUGGAAGAAGGCGAACAUGAUUUAAUGCUGCACGCAAACACAUAAAACAGUCCUUCAAAGUACAGUAAAGCAUUGCAUGAUUAUGAGUAAAGUUCAGUUGGUUAAUGGUCUGCAUGACAAAAACAUGUAGAGUAUGUCCUGCAGUGAGUGCUUAUAUGGUGCAGUGCCAGUGGAGGCCUAUUGACUGUAUCAUGGAAGUAUUUAUUGGCCAUAUGGCUUGUGACACCCCGUGAACUCCUAGUUUCAAGUGAAACCCCAAAUCACAGUAAAAUUGCAAGGACAGGAAUGGAUACAAAUUAGGCACAUAGCUAAUUACUGUUGAUCAAUGUUAAUAAAAUCUUUCCGGGCAUAUAAAGACCAUGUGCUAUAAAGGGGACCUUGCAUUAUUUUUUUAAUUUAUUUUUAUUCAUUUUUUAUUUAACCAGGUAGGCUAGUUGAGAACAAGUUCUCAUUUACAAAUGCGACCUGGCCAAGAUAAAGCAAAGCAGUUCGACACAUACAACAACACAGAGUUACACAUGGAAUAAACAAACAUACAAUCAAUAAUACAGUAGAAAAAUCUAUAUACAGCAUGUGCAAAUGAGGUAGGAUAAGAGAGGUAAGGUAAUAAAUAGGCCAUGGUGGCAAAGUAAUUACAAUAUAUUAAUUAAACACUGGAAUGGUAGGAUGUGCAGAAGAUGAAUGUGCAUGUUGAGAUACUGGGGUACAAAGGAGCAAGAUAAAUAAAUAAAUACAGUAUGGGGACGAGGUAGAUUGGAUGGGCUAUUUACAGAUGAGCUAUGUACAGGUGCAGUAAUCUGUGAGCUGCUCUGACAGCUGGUGCUUAAAGCUAGUGAGGGAGGUAAGAGUCUCCAGCUUCUGAGAUUUUUGCAGUUCGUGCAUAAGGGGAAAACAUUAAGCGAUGAUACAGAUUUAUUUAACCAGAGAGCAACCUGCCUUCUGUAAAGAGAUACCCUCCCAGACUGGAACAGGAAGUCAAUACCCUCCCAGACUGGAACAGGAAGUCAAUACCCUCCCAGACUGGAACAGGAAGUCAUAUGUGAGAGGAAAGAGCACAACAAGCUGGCAUCAGAUUGUAACAAGCCCUCUGGGGUAGAAACUCUCUGGAGUAGAAGCCCUCUGGGGUAGAAGCCCUCUGGGGUAGAAGCCCUCUGGGGUAGAAGCCCUCUUAGCUGACCCUACUACAAUACUUGUUAGACACCCAGGUAAAGGCCUUUUUCUGUCCCACUCAGCAGGUACACCUAUCCAUCUUGACCGAUACCCAUAUGGGGAAGAAGAGGAUAUUAUGAAGGCACUGUAAAGAACCCAUUCCUUAUUGCCCAGUGAUUUAAUCUAUACUGAGCAUAAAUAGAAAGGCAAUAUGUAAAGUGUUGGUCCCAUUUUUCAUUAGCUGAAAUAAAAGAUCCCAGAAAUGUUCUAUACGCACAAAAAGCUUAUCGCUCUCAGAUUUUGUGCAAAAAAUUGUUUACAUCCCUGUUAGUGAGCAUUUCUCCUUUGCCAAGAAUAUCCAUCCACCUGACAGGUGUGGCAUAUCAAGAAGCUGAUUAAACAGCAUGAUCAUUACACAGGUGCACCUUGUGCUGGGAACAAUAAAUGGCCACUCUAAAAUGUGCAAUUUUGUCACACAGCCAUGCAACAGAUGUCUCAAGUUUUGAGGGAGUGUGCAAUUGGCAUGCUGACUGCAGGAAUGUCCAAAAGAGCUGUUGCCAGAGAAUUGAAUGUUAAUUUCUCUACCACAAGCUGCCCCAUUUUAGAGACUUUGGCAGUACAUCCAACUGACCUCACAACCCCAGACCACGUGGAACCACACCAGCCCAGGAACUCUACAUUCGGAGCAGUCUAAGUGGCAGCAGUCUGAAGUGGGAGCAGUCUGAGUGGGAGCACUCAAGUGGGAGAAGUCUAAGUGGGAGCAGUCUGAGUGGGAGCAGUCUAAGUGGCAGCAGUCUGAAGUGGGAGCAGUCUGAGUGGGAGCAGUCUAAGUGGGAGCAGUCUGAGUGGGAGCAGUCUGAGUGGGAGCAGUCUGAAGUGGCAGCAGUCUGAAGUGGGAGCAGUCUGAAGUGGGAGCAGUCUGAAGUGGGAGCAGUCUAAGUGGGAGCAGUCUAAGUGGGAGCAGUCUGAGUGGGAGCAGUCUGAGUGGGAGCAGUCUGAGUGGGAGCAGUCUGAAUGGGAGCAGUCUGAGUGGGAGCAGUCUGAAGUGGGAGCAGUCUAAGUGGCAGCAGUCUGAGUGGCAGCAGUCUAAGUGGGAGCAGUCUGAAGUGGGAGCAGUCUGAGUGGGAGCAGUCUGAGUGGCAGCAGUCUGAGUGGGAGCAGUCUGAGUGGGAGCAGUCUGAGUGGGAGCAGUCUGAAGUGGGAGUAGUCUGAAGUGGGAGCAGUCUGAAGUGGGAGCAGUCUGAGUGGGAGCAGUCUGUGCUAGUAGUCUGAGUGGGAGCAGUCUGAGUGGCAGCAGUCUGAGUGGCAGCAGUCUGAAGUGGGAGAAGUCUGAAGUGGGAGCAGUCUGAAGUGGGAGCAGUCUGAAGUGGGAGCAGUCUGAAGUGGGAGCAGUCUGAAGUGGGAGCAGUCUGAAGUGGGAGCAGUCUGAGUGAGAGCAGUCUGUGCUAGUAGUCUGAGUGGGAGCAGUCUGAGUGGGAGCAGUCUGAGUGGGAGCAGUCUGAGUGGCAGCAGUCUGAAGUGGGAGCAGUCUGAGUGGGAGCAGUCUGAAGUGGGAGCAGUCUGAAGUGGGAGCAGUCUGAAGUGGGAGCAGUCUGAGUGAGAGCAGUCUGAGUGAGAGCAGUCUGUGCUAGUAGUCUGAGUGGGAACAGUCUGAAGUGGGAGCAGUCUGAAGUGGCAGCAGUCUGAAGUGGGAGCAGUCUGAAGUGGGAGCAGUCUGAGUGGGAGCAGUCUGAAGUGGCAGCAGUCUGAGUGGCAGCAGUCUGAGUGGCAGCAGUCUGAGUGGGAGCAGUCUGAAGUGGGAGAAGUCUGAAGUGGGAGCAGUCUGAGUGGGAGCAGUCUGUGCUAGUAGUCUGAGUGGGAGCAGUCUGAGUGGGAGCAGUCUGAGUGGGAGCAGUCUGAGUGGGAGCAGUCUAAGUGGGAGCAGUCUAAGUGGGAGCAGUCUAAGUGGGAGCAGUCUAAGUGGGAGCAGUCUGAAGUGGGAGCAGUCUGAAGUGGGAGCAGUCUGAAGUGGGAGCAGUCUGAGUGGGAGCAGUUUGAAGUGGCAGCAGUCUGAAGUGGGAGCAGUCUGAAGUGGGAGCAGUCUGGAGCAAACAUUUUCAGUCUAAAAACUGUACAUUUGUUUGGUUUAUUUUCUUGAAAGGUGGAAAUAUAAACAUUUGUAUAUUUACCAAUAUGUCAGGGAAGUUAACAUGUGUGUCAAGAAUCAUAAUCUAUACUGUAUAUAGACUUAGUCUCACAUCUAAAAUAACAAGGAUGCCAUGAAGGGGGUGAGAGGUCAUUAGACAAAAUAAGAUGACAAUGAAAUCACAAUGUUUAUUGCCACAAGGAACGACCAAAAUAAAAUGUAAAUGAAGUACGUUUUUUUUUAACAUGUAGUUCGCUGAUCUGCCUUUGAACUGGAUGCAUUGGCCCCUGAGAAAUAGUUUACAAUGUUGGCGCCUGUUAUCAUGAGGUUUUAUGUGCCCUCUAUGGGCCAUGCUGGCUCAGUGGUGCCUUCUACAGUGUCAUCAGAACGUGAUUAGCAAUACCUGCAAUACCUGUCCUACCUGCAGAACAAAAUUUGAAUAGGCUACAAUUUGAAUGUACUACUGCUAGGGACUGUCUAAUGAAUUAGUAAUUUUGCAUAACAAUCAAUCCAAAUAACAACAAUAAUGGAUGUGUUUCAUUUUCCUCUUCAUGAUAAUCAUAUAUGUGUGUAAUUCAUUGAUAGCUGACCCUUUGUUCCUAUAGCAAGUUACAGUAGGUCUACCCUUAAAGGUUAUUUUUUAAUUGUUUAUAUGUUUACCCAAAUUUGUACUUAUUGUUAGUAUAAACUUUAUAGACUAGCCUAGCCCUUAUGAGAAUCAUUGUGGACAAUAGUUUGUUUCCUUAUCAAACAACUUAACGCAUUGUUGUUUUUGGAAAGGUAGACCGGUCAGCAGGGAAAAAUGCAAACCGCGGGUGCUCUCCUCUCAUCAAAGGCCAUCUUCCAGGCAUAACAGUCACGCACGCGGUUCAGACUGGGGUUGUUUGUGAAAAGGGAUUUUUAAAUGCAAUUUACGCAGACGCUGACCUAAAAUAAUACAAAUAAUAAUAAUAUCACACUUUCAGAGGCUCUGGUAUAGGCUAUAACAUCAUUAGACAUUUAAUUAUCCAUAACAUAGGCUAUAUUUUGUCCUUGUAUGUCACAAGAGUUAAGGGGGCUAAAUUUGUUUCCAAAACUGCACACGCUUUAAGCCUACAUGUCGCCUAUCGCCCUGACAAGAGAGGUCCAUGACAUGUCACGCGCAGCCUGGGUCUCCUGGGACAGUAAAUGUUGCCAAGCGUGAAGUAUCAGGAGAUUUGGAGUAGCACUCCACUUCAAAGUAUAGUGCGUGCUAAGCAUGUGAGGGGGGAAAUGCAUAAUAGACUCAGUGUACUGGUGAAGUAACCGAGCAAGCACUGAAAAUAAGCAGGAAUCAAAUCAAAUGAUUGAAUGAAUCAGUCUAAGUAGCGGCCCAGGGCCCACACUCCAGCCCCGGUGGAGAGGCUGAAGAAAGACACUUGUUGCUUCCAUUGUUCGCUCACACCUGCCUUGGGCGCACAUCUCAUCUGUGAUCUCAGAUUUAUGCCCAAUGACCAAGAAAAAGUGCAUGCGUAAUUCUGUAAAUCUGAAAAACAUUGCGCUACAUAUAUUCUCAUAGUGUCAAUAGUUCGAUAUGUUUCUUAAUGAGAACAGAAUAACAUGGCGUAUUCCUUAGUAUAGGUCUAAUUUGAAAACAGCUCUAAAAACCAGCUAGACCUGUGUUAGUGAUAGCCUAUCAUCCACUGCGUGAACCUUUUUGGCCAACGCCUAUUCUGCCUGUACAUUAAGACAAGAUCUCAUCAGUCCUUCCAAUAAUCCUUCCUGUGUAGGCCUAUUGGGUAACAAGGUAGAUAUAAACAUUGAAUUAUUGCCUAGGCCCUCAUUCUUAUGUCCUUAAACAGUAGAGACACCAAUCGCCUGGAUUUAAUUCGUUCUCUCUGUCUGCUCAACAUGACAUGUCUGAACGAAUGUAACUUAUCGACCCACUUCGGGCCUGUCUCGGGGUAGGCCACGGAAAAGCCACGUCCCGCCGCCACCCUGCCCUCCCCAAAAACAUAUUGCAAUAAUCAGUCCAAUUAGUGGAGGUCGUGGCAAAGAGCUUUUGGGUUAGCGAUGGGAGGUUGUGAAAAUAGGGGGCGACUAUUAGAAGAAACGCGAUCCCCAUUCAUCAGCAUUGUAAUAAUCACCGCUCAGACCAGCCACGCGGGCCCAGCAAAUCUCUGAUCAAACUGAUUCGUGGAAACAAGAGGUUUACAAACAUUGUCAAGGCGAGACCCGUACCUUGAUUCGGCCUGUCACUGCCAGGUUCCUUCGGCCUGCAGCAGAGGCUUUGAUCAGCACUUGUGACUGCGCAGUG